AGAGUUUGAUCCUGGCUCAGGACGAACGCUGGCGGCGUGCUUAACACAUGCAAGUCGAGCGAUGAAACUUCCUUCGGGAAGUGGAUUAGCGGCGAACGGGUGAGUAACACGUGAGUAACCUGCCUCAAAGAGGGGGAUAGCCUUCCGAAAGGAAGAUUAAUACCGCAUAACAUGUAGAAACCACAUGUUUUUUAUAUCAAAGGAGCAAUCCGCUUUGAGAUGGACUCGCGGCGCAUUAGCUAGUUGGUAGGGUAAUGGCCUACCAAGGCAACGAUGCGUAGCCGACCUGAGAGGGUGAUCGGCCACAUUGGGACUGAGACACGGCCCAGACUCCUACGGGAGGCAGCAGUGGGGAAUAUUGCGCAAUGGGCGAAAGCCUGACGCAGCAACGCCGCGUGGGUGAUGACGGUCUUCGGAUUGUAAAACCCUGUCUUCAGGGACGAUAAUGACGGUACCUGAGGAGGAAGCCACGGCUAACUACGUGCCAGCAGCCGCGGUAAUACGUAGGUGGCAAGCGUUGUCCGGAUUUACUGGGCGUAAAGGGUGCGUAGGCGGAUAAUUAAGUCAGAUGUGAAAUCCCAGGGCUCAACCUUGGGGCUGCAUUUGGUACUGGUUGUCUAGAGUGCAGGAGAGGAGAGUGAAAUUCCUAGUGUAGCGGUGAAAUGCGUAGAUAUUAGGAAGAACACCAGUGGCGAAAGGCGACUCUCUGGACUGUAACUGACGCUGAGGCACGAAAGCGUGGGGAGCGAACAGGAUUAGA
rnacentral:rRNA from 1 species